rnacentral:rRNA from 1 species
GACGAACGCUGGCGGCGUGCCUAACACAUGCAAGUCGAACGGAAAGGCCCUGCUUUUGUGGGGUGCUCGAGUGGCGAACGGGUGAGUAACACGUGAGUAACCUGCCCUUGACUUUGGGAUAACUUCAGGAAACUGGGGCUAAUACCGGAUAGGUGCUCCUGCUGCAUGGUGGGGUUGGAAAGUUUCGGCGGUUGGGGAUGGACUCGCGGCUUAUCAGCUUGUUGGGGGGGUAGUGGCCUACCAAGGCUUUGACGGGUUGCCGGCCUGGGAAGGUGAACAGCCACAUUGGGACUGCGAUAGGGCGCAGUCUGCUACAGGAGGCAACAGUGGGGAGUAUUACACAAUGGGCGGAAGCCUGAUACAGCGACGCCGGGAGCGGGAAGACGGCCUUCGGGUGGUAAACCGCAUUAGCCUGUGACGAAGCGUGUGUGACGGUAAUGGGUAAAGAAGCACCGGCUAACUACGUG